GGGCCCGCACAAGCAGCGGAGCAUGUGGUUUAAUUCGAAGCAACGCGAAGAACCUUACCAGAACUUGACAUCGUGCGCAUAGAGAGUAAUGUCUCGAAGCCCUUCGGGGCGCAUAGACAGGUGGUGCAUGGUUGUCGUCAGCUCGUGUCGUGAGAUGUUGGGUUAAGUCCCGCAACGAGCGCAACCCCUAUUGCUAGUUGCCAUCAUUCAGUUGGGCACUCUAGUGAGACUGCCGGAGACAAUUCGGAGGAAGGUGGGGAUGACGUCAAAUCAUCAUGCCCCUUAUGUUCUGGGCUACACACGUGCUACAAUGGGUAUAACAACGGGAAGCAAGCUAGUGAUAGCAAGCCAACCCCUAAAAAGUACCCCCAGUUCAGAUUGUAGGCUGAAACUCGCCUACAUGAAGUCGGAGUUGCUAGUAAUCGCGAAUCAGCAUGUCGCGGUGAAUACGUUCCCGGGCCUU
rnacentral:rRNA from 1 species